rnacentral:lncRNA from 10 species
AUUUUCUGAGAUGUCUUCUCUGGCCCUUUCCCCAUCCUGGAUAGAGGAAAGGUCCACUCCAACAUGAAGACACUGGGAGGAAAGAAAGAAUAAUGAAGGAAGCUAAAAGUGGAAUCACUGGGAUAGGAGAAGAAACAAAGAAAGUCCAUCCAGGAAGCCGGCCCGCCCGUCGACCAAUCAGCACGCACUUCCUCCCCUCUGAGACCCAUAAAAAGCUUGGGACUCAGCCAGACCUAAAGAGAUGACUGGAGACCAGCUGCAAAGAGGUGCUAUCUACCCUAGGGUCUCCUCUCUGCUAGGAGCUGAACACUCCUUAGGAUGACCUGCCCAGCGGAGAGGAGCUACCCUUUCUGCUAAGAGCUGAACACUCGUUGGGACACCGUUGGGACACCAGAGAGGGGUUGCCCACUGCGGGUCUCCUGUGAG